rnacentral:rRNA from 1 species
GCUCAGGACGAACGCUGGCGGCGCGCUUAACACAUGCAAGUCGAGUGAGAACCAAGGCUUCGGCCUGGUGGACAGCGGCGAACGGGUGAGUAAUACGUGGGAACUCUGCCAUCGGCGCCGGAAUAGCCAGGGAACACCAGGAUUAAUACCGGAUGGCCAAUCCGCUUUUCGGAGUGGAUGGAACAGGUACCUUUGGCCUCCGGCCGAGAUGGAGUCCGCGGCGGAUUAGCUUGUUGGUGAGGUAAUGGCUCACCAAGGCUCCGAUCCGUGACUGGUCUGAGAGGACGAUCAGCCUGCUGGGACUGAACCACGGCCAAGACUCCUACGGGAGGCAACUUUGGGGGAAUCUUGCGCAAUGGGCGAACGCCUGACGCAGCGACGCCGCGUGCGGGAAGAAGGCCUUCCGGUUGUUGCCGCUUUCAAGAGGGACGAAGCCACUCGGGUUAAUAGCCAAGAGGGUGACGGUACCUCCAGAAGAAGCCACGGCUAACUACGUGCCAGCAGCCGCGGUAAUACGUAGGGGGCUAGCGUUGUCCGGAUUUAUUGGGCGCAAGAGUGUGUAUGCGGCCAGGUAGGUCUGCUGUGAACACUCGAGGCUUAACCUCGAGAUGUCUGCGGAACCAAUCUGGCUAGAGACCGGAUAGGAUAGUGGAAUUCCUGGUGUAGCGGUGAAUGCGCAGAUAACAGAACACACCAGUGGCGAACGCGGCUCUCUGGUGACGGUACUGACGCUGAGACGCGAACCGUGCGAGUGACAGGACUAGAUACCAUGGUACUCAUGCGUCACAUGUGUGCGAGGUGUGGCUGUGUCGA